UGGGGAAUAUUGGACAAUGGGCGAAAGCCUGAUCCAGCCAUGCCGCGUGUGUGAAGAAGGUCUUCGGAUUGUAAAGCACUUUAAGUUGGGAGGAAGGGCAGUAAGCGAAUACCUUGCUGUUUCGACGUUACCGACAGAAUAAGCACCGGCUAACUCUGUGCCAGCAGCCGCGGUAAUACAGAGGGUGCAAGCGUUAAUCGGAAUUACUGGGCGUAAAGCGCGCGUAGGUGGUUCGUUAAGUUGAAUGUGAAAGCCCCGGGCUCAACCUGGGAACUGCAUCCAAAACUGGCGAGCUAGAGUAGGGCAGAGGGUGGUGGAAUUUCCUGUGUAGCGGUGAAAUGCGUAGAUAUAGGAAGGAACACCAGUGGCGAAGGCGACCACCUGGGCUCAUACUGACACUGAGGUGCGAAAGCGUGGGGAGCAAACAGG
rnacentral:rRNA from 1 species